AACGAACGCUGGCGGCGUGCCUAACACAUGCAAGUCGAACGGAUUUGAGGGGCUUGCUCCUCAAGUUAGUGGCGCACGGGUGAGUAACGCGUGGAUAAUCUACCCAAUGCUCAGGGAUAACAUCUCGAAAGGGGUGCUAAUACCUGAUAAGCCCACGGGCUCUUCGGAGUUUGCGGGAAAAGGGGGGGACCUUCGGGCCUCCCGACAUUGGAUGAGUCCGCGUCCCAUUAGGUAGUUGGUGGGGUAAAGGCCUACCAAGGCGACGCUGGGUAGGUGGUCUGAGAGGAUGAUCAGCCGCACUGGAACUGAGACACGGUCAAGACUCCUACGGGAGGCAGCAGUGGGGAAUUUUGCGCAGUGGGGGGAACCCUGACGCAGCAACGCCGCGUGAGGAUGAAGAUCUUCGGGUCGUAAACUCCUGUCGAAUGGGACGAAUGGCCCGGCCGUGAACAACGGCCGGGAGUGACGGUACCGUGAGAGGAAGCCCCGGCUAACUCCGUGCCAGCCGCCGCGGUAAAAC
rnacentral:rRNA from 1 species